GAUGAGCGCUGACAGAAUGCUUAACACAUGCCAGUCUUUGGCGAAGCUGUGCUCGCACAGCCUAGCCAAGGCGGACGGGUGAGUAACGCGUAAGGAACUUGCCCUGCAGUCAGGGAUAACAGACGGAAACGACUGAUAAGACCUGGUAAAGUCAGGCGGACUCAUGUCCAGCCUGAUGAAAAGAGAUGCUGCAGGCGAGCCUUGCGUCCUAUUAGCUUGUUGGUGGGGUAACGGCCCACCAAGGCGAUGAUAGGUAGCCGGCCUGAGAGGGUGGACGGCCACAAGGGGACUGAGAUACGGCCCUUACUCCUACGGGAGGCAGCAGUGGGGAAUAUUGGACAAUGGGGGCAACCCUGAUCCGGCAAUUCUGCGUGCACGAUGAAGGUUUUCGGAUUGUAAAGUGCUUUCAGCAGGGAAGAAAAAAAUGACGGUACCUGCAGAAGAAGCGACGGCUAAAUACGUG
rnacentral:rRNA from 1 species